rnacentral:rRNA from 1 species
UACGUAGGGUGCGAGCGUUGUCCGGAAUUAUUGGGCGUAAAGAGCUCGUAGGCGGUCUGUCGCGUCGAUCGUGAAAACUUGGGGCUUAACCCUGAGCUUGCGGUCGAUACGGGCAUGACUGGAGUUCGGCAGGGGAGACUGGAAUUCCUGGUGUAGCGGUGAAAUGCGCAGAUAUCAGGAGGAACACCGGUGGCGAAGGCGGGUCUCUGGGUAGUAACUGACGCUGAGGAGCGAAAGCGUGGGUAGCGAACAGG